UCAGACGAUGCGUCAUGCAUAUCAAUAAGCGGAGGAAAAGAAACUAACAAGGAUUCCCUUAGUAACGGCGAGUGAAGCGGGAAGAGCUCAAAUUUGAAAUCUUCAAGGUUUUACCUUGACGAAUUGUAGUUUAAAGAAGUGUUUUCUGCUGAAGUUUUGGUAAAAGUUCUUUGGAAUAGGACAUCAUAGAGGGUGAGAAUCCCGUAUUUGACCAUUAUUUUCAGCUUUGUGAUACACUUUCAAAGAGUCGGAUUGUUUGGGAAUGCAGUCCAAAAUGGGUGGUAAAUUUCUUCUAAGGCUAAAUAUUGGCGAGAGACCGAUAGCGAACAAGUACCGUGAGGGAAAGAUGAAAAGAACUUUGAAAAGAGAGUUAAAUAGUACGUGAAAUUGUCAAAAGGGAAGCGUUUAACACCAGUGUUGUUUUCUGAAAACCAACCUCUGUUAGCUUUAUGCAUGUUUGUUUAGACCUAAUCAGCUAUCUUGCAUGUUCUAUUGUUUGCAGUGGUGCACUUUUCAGUUUACAGGUCAACAUCAGUUUUUUUUACCGUAAAAAAGUUAAAGAAAGGUAGCUCAUGGCUCCGGUCGUGAGUGUUAUAGUCUUUUUCCUAUGCGGUAGGAGAGACUGAGGUCUGCAGUGUAGGCUAUUUGGCUAGAUACUCAGGUGCUAUGUGAUACCAUUUCAUAAACAACUUGUUGAUUAUGUUUUGUCUAUUGCAUACUCGCUUGUACUAUCAUACCUACGCUUAGGAUGUUGACUGAUAUGUAGUCGUA
rnacentral:rRNA from 1 species